rnacentral:rRNA from 1 species
UGGGGAAUUUUGGACAAUGGGGGCAACCCUGAUCCAGCCAUGCCGCGUGAGUGAAGAAGGCCUUCGGGUUGUAAAGCUCUUUCAGCCGGAACGAAACGGUCACGGUUAAUAACUGUGAUCACUGACGGUACCGGAAGAAGAAGCACCGGCUAACUACGUGCCAGCAGCCGCGGUAAUACGUAGGGUGCGAGCGUUAAUCGGAAUUACUGGGCGUAAAGCGUGCGCAGGCGGUUUUGUAAGUCAGAUGUGAAAUCCCCGGGCUUAACCUGGGAACUGCGUUUGAAACUACAAGGCUAGAGUGUGGCAGAGGGGGGUGGAAUUCCACGUGUAGCAGUGAAAUGCGUAGAGAUGUGGAGGAACACCGAUGGCGAAGGCAGCCCCCUGGGUUAACACUGACGCUCAGGCACGAAAGCGUGGGGAGCAAACA